UACGAAGGUGGCAAGCGUUGUUCGGAUUUACUGGGCGUACAGGGAGCGUAGGCGGUUGGAUAAGCCCUCCGUGAAAUCUCCAGGCUUAACCUGGAAAGUGCAGAGGGGACUGUUCAGCUAGAGGAUGGGAGAGGAGCGCGGAAUUCCCGGUGUAGCGGUGAAAAUGCGUAGAGAUCGGGAGGAAGGCCGGUGGCGAAGGCGGCGCUCUGGAACAUUUCUGACGCUGAGGCUCGAAAGCGUGGGGAGCAAACAGGG
rnacentral:rRNA from 1 species